CCGCUGAAUUUAAGCAUAUUAAUAAGCGGAGGAAAAGAAACUAACAAGGAUUCCCCCAGUAACGGCGAGUGAAGUGGGAACAGCUCAAGCUUGAAAUCUCUGUUGCUUGCAACAGCGAAUUGUAGUCUCGAGAAGCGUUUUCCAGACGGACCUUCCCUGCCUAAGUUGCUUGGAACAGCACAUCAGAGAGGGUGACAAUCCCGUUCGUGGCAGGGCGGGCCGUUCACGAUACGCUUUCCAUGAGUCGGGUUGCUUGGGAAUGCAGCCCAAAAUUGGUGGUAAACUCCAUCUAAAGCUAAAUAUUGGCACGAGACCGAUAGCGAACAAGUACCGUGAGGGAAAGAUGAAAAGAACUUUGAAGAGAGAGUUCAGUCAUAGCUGUUUCCU
rnacentral:rRNA from 1 species